rnacentral:tRNA from 1 species
CAAAUUAGAGCUUGGUUAGAAAGUUUUUUAUUUACAUUAAAAAGUUGUUGUGCAAUUCAACGUAAUUUGA